rnacentral:siRNA from 1 species
UAUUGAGUCUCAGGUAAAUCAGCU